UUGCUGCUAAAGUGAGAUUGGCAGAGCUAACAAAGCAGUAUCAAUUUUACACUUUAAAGCAGAAAAUAUCCUAAUAGCACGACUUUAAAUGUCUGAGUUUGUGCAUUUUAAUUUUAGAAAGACCUCUUUGCAACUGGAGCAUGUUCCCUUAAUCUGCCACCGUGAGAAAAAACUCAUCUGAAAGACCAAGAAAUGCUAAAGUUCUUGAAAUCCGCUGUUAGCAAGUCUACAAGGUGCUGCCUUUUUGUUUGUCUAUCCUGUCGUUGGCGUGUUACUGAUUAGACGCGAUGAUUCAAGCUGCAUGCCAUCAGCUGAUUAAGAGUGGGGUGUAUGCGAGCCGUGCCCCGCAUAAUCAAGCUUCAUUUACAUUUUCAAAGUAGGUUUGUUGUUGCUGAAAGUGUUUUCAUUUCGCAUUCUAGCAAACUCCCCUCCUAGCAUGAAGACUGGCACAAUAUUUAUAUGGUCUACAUGGUCUUACCUUGAAUAUGACAGCCAAAGAGACAUAAUGGGGGGAUAAAAUCAUUCCCCUGCAGCGCAGACGUAGCAGGAAGUAGUAAGAGGCGUUAGCAGAGGUGAGACAGGAUCACUGCAAGCCAGUGGAGCAGGCAGGGUCUGUAUGCAAAGUAUGCUAGUGGUACUAUGAGAACUCUCAGUAUAUUCUCAUGGCGCCACUGAAUAAUGCUGUUGGGGUUUGAUUUUCUCAUCCAUGUGUUCGGCUCAAUCAGAUUGUGCCACGUGAAUGUGCUCCAUUUUUUUUUACACAAGUAUAGCGAUAAGUUUCAUUAGCUUUGCACAGAAUCGGUUGGUAGAAAACAAUCCCCCACUUCUUCUACUUUUCCCAGAACCCUUGUACGCACAUGUAUCUAUACUUCCGCGGGAGUGAAGACCAUGUUUCCUUGUGUCACCUCUGUAAACAGGAGGAGUCAAUCCUCUGCCAGUUUACAGUAUCGCCACCCGAAUCUCAGGUUUGAUGGUUCAGCUCAUGCCAGCAGUUCCCAGAACAUCUUUUCUUCCAUGUGGGAAAAUUCAACCUCUCAUGAGAUUCCAGGGGUAUUUGUUUUCACCUACUGUCACGUUGACGGCUCACCCAUUCGGGACGGAUCAAGCGGGAUGCCAAAAUCCGCUGUCACGUCUUCACGCUUCUUGAGAGACAUUUCCAGAGGUAAACACUGAGAGGAAGCCGGUCCGGUUCAGGAUGUUCACAUGGAUGUUUGGAGGAAUAUUCCAGCCCCCUGAAAGUUUGCGUGGAUAUCUCGAACAUCUCGGGUGAUUUUACAUGACACAGUGAUCCCAGAUGUGGCCUCUGCGCCGUUGUUGCCCAGCGCUUUCUGUUAACCCGCCUGGGACACACGCCACUGUUUUGGUCGUAAGAAACAUGGGUUCUCGUUUUAAGCUAACGGGUUGUUUAUACGGGCUUCGCCAACUGGAUCCGUGAUUGCAGGCCACUGGUUUAUUUUAAUUAGCCAUGGUGAGCAGUUCCGAUGGAUUUCGAGUGUGACUCACCCCUUUUUCAAAACAUUAGUCUCCACCGAGUCCCACUGUUGCCCUUUGAGGUUGGGUUUCAUUUCAGAUUAGUAUAAAAGAGGGGGCAUUCCCGAUGUGUGCCGUGUAUGGUAUAUAUUUGGCUGUGUGUGCUUUAAUGUUUGCGUUUGAGACUAAAGGAAAGUGUUACUCCUGCGAAGCCUGUGAUGAAAAUUUAAUUUAAUGAACUCAGGGACUUCUCUUAAAAUGUUCCCCACACUGAAACCUACAGUUUGAUCUUACACGCUCGGAUUUAAAAAGCACUCAGACGGUUAUUUUUGGACAGUAAAAACUGGUGUCUGUGACUUGAAAGAAAAAAAAAGGAUUUACUCACGAGAGCCCAAACAUCUGGUUUUCUGUCCCUUCUCCUGGAAUAGAGCAUCUUUAAUUGUAAAUUUGAUUUAAAUAGAUUUAAUUUUACAUUCAAUUAACUGCAGAUGAGGUGGCUGUCCAAGUCAUCCACAAGUCAAAGUCAGACUCCCAAAUGUCAA